rnacentral:tRNA from 1 species
AUGGAAUGGAAUUGAUUACUAAGUCGACAGUGAAGUAAGACUCUCGGGAAGAGAAGAGAAAGGAACUGAAAUA